rnacentral:ncRNA from 1 species
GGUCAAGUGAAGAAGCGCAUACGGUGGAUGCCUUGGCAGUCAGAGGCGAUGAAAGAGUGGUAGCCUGCGAAAAGCUUCGGGGAGUCGGCAAACAGACUUUGAUCCGGAGAUGUCUGAAUGGGGGAACCCAGCCAUCAUAAGAUGGUUAUCUUAAG